rnacentral:rRNA from 1 species
CCUACGGGGGGCAGCAGUGGGGAAUAUUGCGCAAUGGGCGAAAGCCUGACGCAGCGACGCCGCGUGAGGGAUGAAUGUCUUCGGAUCGUAAACCUCUGUCAGCAGGGAAGAACGGUCACUGUGCUAAUCAGCAGUGAAUUGACGGUACCUGCAAAGGAAGCACCGGCUAACUCCGUGCCAGCAGCCGCGGUAAUACGGAGGGUGCGAGCGUUAAUCGGAAUUACUGGGCGUAAAGGGCUCGUAGGCGGUAUGUCAAGUCAAGGGUGAAAUCCCCGCGCUCAACGUGGGAACUGCAUUUGAAACUGGCAGACUGGAGUGUGUGAGAGGAUAGUGGAAUUCCAGGUGUAGGAGUGAAAUCCGGAGAUAUCUGGAGGAACAUCAGUGGCGAAGGCGACUAUCUGGCACAUAACUGACGCUGAGGAGCGAAAGCGUGGGUAGCAAACAGGAUUAGAUACCCUAGUAGUC